CAUAAAAAAGCUGUUGCAGUGUAUUAUUUUGUUAUUUUCAUUCUAUAAAAGUCACCAGAAUGCAGGACACAAAGUCUCUAAAACUCAAAUUUGUUGGGGCGAAGAACCCCUAGAUCCAACGCUUUGAUUUUGAAAUCCUCCGCACACAUUUGAGGUCACAAAGUUGUCAAGUAUGGUAUGAGAUAUGGAAAAAAAGGUGUGAAAAAUUUCCAGAAAUACGGGAGAAUUGCAUCCCCGGGAGGAAACCGGGAGAGGGCGAUGAAAACUGGAGUCUCCCAGGAAAAUUGGGAUGGUUGGCAAGUAUAGGUCAACGUCACUUGAUCCCAGGUCAAAGGAUGACAUCAACACAAAAUCGUGUGAUUUCUAUAAACUGAAACGUGAUUGACAACAAAUGCAAUGCAGCGUAACUGUGUGUUAAAUUUGCUCUCAAAGGCAUAUUUCUAUUCUGUCUGUUGACCAGAGGACUUGGACUGCACCAGUUGUGUAGACAGAUGGAAAAGCUUGCUAAGACAUCCUCGGGCGAUGGUGUCCUCAGUGGGGACAGUGGUGCCUCAUGGGAGACCAAAGAGCAAAACAAUGAUAAAUGGUUGUAUGCUGUAGGCUGGAAAAGAAACUAGCAAAACUCAUGUGACAGCCACGUCCACGAACGCAUCACUUGGACACAGAGGAGAUGUGACGUAGAAGAAUACGCAAGACGACAGCAUGAAGGAACCCCUCCAACCCCACCCUCAAAUCCUGUUGGUUAGUCGUCCCAGUGACGCAGGACAAAUCAGACAUCUUUGGCACAAAAAAAAUCUUUUGAAGGGGACUGGAUACAGCAGGCAAGACACACAACUCAGGAUGUAACAGCCUCACAAUAUGUGUUUCAGAAUAUUUCCUGAUAAGCAGGGGAUGGUUUUGAGUUUGUCCGUCACGUUUAAAAGAGGCCAAAGCACCAGAGUAUUUAUGAGUAGGCAUCAUCUCAGCGGUGGUGUCUAUUUCCUGAUGUGUUUCAGCAUGAGACAGUCACAGUUCUGUGGCUCCCCUCUCUCUCUCUGAGUGAAAGUAAAAAAAGGGAAAGUGGAGGAGUGAAAUGACUCAAACGCUACUGGCCAUUAACCGCCGAUCAGAGCUGUCACAUUAUCUGGAAACACAGACAGAUGGGAGGUUUGGCCGUAGGGGGAAAUGCUUUCACUGUCUGCCAUGAUAAUAGUCUCAUAUUGCCUACUAGAAGGGGUGAGAAAGAUAUGCUUUGGAAAAUGAUGGUGAUUGCGCGCCACGCACCGUCUCUGCAAAUGAUGUGAGGUCGAGCCUGAUUGUGUUUUUGUUCCAUUUUCGGGAAGGAGGGACUCUGCCAGAUUAGGGGAAGCUGGGCUUUUCUGUGUAUUCUCCUCUACUUGACCUCUAUUAUGAUAACAGAUGUUAAUUACACAGCGCCAGGUUUGCCAAUGAAUCUGUCUGUUGUUCUCACACAUUGCAGGUUCCCCCCUUUGUCUUUUACAGACUCACAGAACAUGCUUUGAGAUUUUUUUCGCAUGUUUUUUUGAGUACUCUGUGGUGAUUUUAUUGUGGUGUGACCACAUGUGUGUAUUUGCUCGCAGCUGUGAAUCUCAGAUAAACUUGGCAGAGCUGGAAAACCGAACAUGGAAAACCAUGUACUGCAGCCAUAUGGAGCAAAAGCCGAUUCAGUUUAAUCAGAGUGUUCAAUAUGUUUACUCCAUCGGGGGAGUUCCAGCACUACGAAAUAAGCUGAGGAAGGGAAAAACUCAAAGUUAACACUUUCCGAAUAGUUUGCCAAGCACAAGCUGAUGCAGAGCUUCUGUUUGACUGUAAACUCUCUGAUUUUCAAACAACUUGAAAACACCAAACUUUUAGGACUUCCAGGGAUGAAAAGAUGAAAACAAAACAGACGUAUGUACUCAUGAAAUCUGGGCAGAGAAAUGAAUACUGAAGAGCAGAACUGAGGGCAUUUGCAUCAGCAAGUUAUACAACUCCUCUCCACUGGGGAAGAGGACAAACUCUUUGAGGAUGAGUCACUGAUGGGACGACUCAGCGUCGUGUCACGACACUGAUUGUACUUAUGUGGGAUGGCAGGGGGAGUGGGCGGGGAAAGGUCAAAAGCAGUCUGUUGUUGUAUUUUAUGCCUUUAAUGCACUGAAUCACCUGUGCAAGAAGAUUUCUUGAAACACAAUAGUGGCUCUAUUGAUAGCAAUGUUACAAAGAAGUCCACUGCUUUGGCCCAGACUGAAAUAUCUCAACAUUUGCCAUAAAAUGUUAACAUGUUCAUGAUUCCCGGAUGAUAUAUCCUAACAGGCUGUUCUCAUACACCGUACGUAGCUAAUGCACUGUAAUUCGUAUAUAUCCCACAAAAUCA